rnacentral:siRNA from 1 species
UUACAUAGAGCUGCAGCGAG